UGUACCCAUAGACCAGCAUUUUCUCUUCUCCUUGAACGCAAAAGCCUAAGAGCCGCACAAGGUUUGUGUGUUGCAGUUUGGCUAUAAGUAUAAGCUCAUUUUUGAACUCCACUAGCCCUUGGCUUGAUCCGCUUGAUAAUCUCUUUAUUGCAACUUCUUGUCCAUCAUCCAAUGCUCCCUAACGAUUUAACAAGUUUUCAAGUGUUAAGAGGCAGAUUGAUGAAAUCAUUAUCGCUAAUUCACUUAUGGGGGGAAUGGCAAACACCUUGAAAACGGGUCCAAAGCCACCUUUUCCAAGCAAAUUUUCUGGUGAGAAGCCAUUUGUAGCAGACAUGAUUAAGGCUGCUGUAUAUAUGUUUAGAUUACGACCAUUGUUUCCAGUUUGAAGCUCUGAUACGUCACUUGCAUCUUCUGAGGUCAUUAAGUCAAGCAGAGUGGAAAGCAGUACUAUGAUCAUUAGAGCCA